UCAUACUAGCCGGGGAGUUAGCGGUGCCCUGUAUCUACAACCCGCUUUAGUAGAGGUGAUGUCGGACUUGCGGAUGAUUUUAGUGUCAAUGCCUUAAACUGUAAAGUGUUGAGAAAAUAGUCCUGUAUUGUGGAGAAGCGGUGAAUCGUGUCAGGUUGGGAACGAAGCAGCACUAAAUCGAUUUCUUCAGGUUUACAGGGUCGCUGUUUUUGAGCUUUCGGUUUGAGAAACAGGCGGUAAAAUUUUUUCAAAUGUCCGAUGUAUGA
rfam:Leptotrichia goodfellowii F0264 contig00131, whole genome shotgun sequence.